AUUGAACGCUGGCGGCAGGCCUAACACAUGCAAGUCGAACGAGUGGCGGACGGGUGAGUAAUGUGUGGGAAACUGCCUGAUGGAGGGGGAUAACUACUGGAAACGGUAGCAAAUACCGCAUACCAUCAGAUGUGCCCAGAUGGAAUUAGCUAGUGGGUGGGGUAACGGCUCACCAAGGCGACGAUCCCUAGCUGGUCUGCGAGGGUAACCAGCCUGACUGGAACUGACACACGGUCCAGACUCCUACGGGAGGCAGCAGUGGGGAAUAUUGCACAAUGGGCGCAAGCCUGAUGCAGCCAUGCCGCGUGUAUGAAGAAGGCCUUCGGGUUGUAAAGUACUUUCAGCGGGGAGGCGUUACCCGCAGAAGAAGCACCGGCUAACUCCGUGCCAGCAGCCGCGGUAAUAC
rnacentral:rRNA from 1 species